rnacentral:rRNA from 1 species
GAUGAACGCUGGCGGCGUGCUUAACACAUGCAAGUCGAACGGAAAGGCCCAAGCUUGCUUGGGUACUCGAGUGGCGAACGGGUGAGUAACACGUGGGUGAUCUGCCCUGCACUUCGGGAUAAGCCUGGGAAACUGGGUCUAAUACCGGAGAGGACCACUUCUUGGAUGUUGUGGUGGAAAGUUUUUUCGGUGUGGGAUGAGCUCGCGGCCUAUCAGCUUGUUGGUGGGGUAAUGGCCUACCAAGGCGUCGACGGGUAGCCGGCCUGAGAGGGUGUACGGCGACAUUGGGACUGAGAUACGGCCCAGACUCCUACGGGAGGCAGCAGUGGGGAAUAUUGCACAAUGGGCGCAAGCCUGAUGCAGCGACGCCGCGGGGGGGAUGACGGCCUUCGGGUUGUAAACUCAUUUCGCUAGGGACGAAGCGUUUUGUGACGGUACCUAGAGAAGAAGCACCGGCUAACUACGUG